UUGCCAGGUGUGGGGCUUUGUCAAUGAAUACAAGGAGCUAGGGAUUGUGCUUAAGAUGCCUCACCUAUGCUCACGAUUUCUGGCCUAUGAACAAGCCAAGCUACAGGAAUCGAAUAGAAACUUGGAUGUUACCUUACACAUAAAAAGGGAAUGCAAAGCACUUAACCAUGAUUAUAUCAAAAUGGAUGCAAGCUGUGCAAAAUAGAAGUGAAGGAGACCAUGUGCUAAUUGAAUUUCAUACUUCCAGGGCGUGGCGAGUUGAUAAAGGAAUUGAACAGUGCACUCGCUGGUUAGGAAUCGAAAGGGAUAUGCAUCAGUUAAUGCAAAAGUGUGAAAUUUGCUUAAAAGCCAAGGAAGAAAAUAGGCCAAAAAAAUACUACGAGAAACUGUAGCUUGAAGAAUGGUGGUCCUACACCCAAUUCCACAUCUCAACAGGAAAGCGAAUUUUACAAGUUUUUCUGAUGCGAGGUCCAGUGGCGCGCAGGUUGCGACUUCCUGAAGGUCCCAAGGGUGAGCCCUCGCCCCAACAGGUGCCACCGUCCAUGCUGCCAACCAAAGAAGUUGGGCGAAUGCGGACAAAAAGGGGAAACACAUCAGAUCGGCGCAAGGCGACACAAGCAACUAGGUACUCCCAAACCCAGUUCAAAGAGUUCCAUGAGUUUCAUCCUUGAGAACAAAGAUGAGUUUAAGGGGAAGGGAUUGUAGAAUAUAGGAGUAUAGUAGUUAAAAGGAGUAGUAAAGGUAGCAACUUUACUAGUUAACAGAGGAAUAAAGGCAGCAGCAGGGUGAAGAGGAGGCGGCUCGGCGGAGUGAUCCGGCGGGAAGGUGCUCUGGCAGAACUUCGACGGGAAGCGACUACGAAAGGGCUCAGGCGCUGGCGGAGUAGAAUCGGAGGCGACUAGGGCAUAGCGAGAGGCAGAGAGGAGAGAUCGGGCGGAAGAGAGAACCGAUCAAAUCUACAGAUUUGGGGGCGAGGUAGAAGGCGUAUCAAGCGGUCCGAACCUCGGAUCGGGAGGAAAUGGCGAACCCAAGACCCGCCAGGCAAUGGAUAGUGCGGAGAAGGGCAACUCGAGACCCGCUUACCCGACUACCAGGCAUUCUUGGACUGGGCAAGCCUAGUGGAGGCCCACAAUCCCACAGAUAGCGGCCUAGGAGACUCACACCUCUUUUUACAUUUUUGUCGUUAGCCAUCAUAUAGUAGUAAAUUUCAUUUCAGUACACAUACUAGNCCGAACCUCGGAUCGGGCGAAAAUGGCGAACCCAAGACCCACAGGGCAAUGGAUAGUGCGGAGAAGGGCAACUCGAGACCCGCUUACCCGACUGCCAGACGGUAUUGGGCCGGGCAAGCCUAGCGGAGGCCCAUCAUCCCACAGAUAGCGGCCUAGGAGACUCACACCUCUUUUUACAUUUUUGUCGUUAGCCAUCAUAUAGUAGUAAAUUUCAUUUCAGUACACAUACUAGAUAGUAUAAAUACGAGAAGGAAUGUUAAACGGGAUAUGAAGAAAAUAUAUUACAAAUUUCAUCUUCCCCAAUUCUUCCUCUUCUCUUUUCUCUCUUCUCUCUUCCCCCUAUCCCUAACCCUCUCCUCUGCUCUCAACUCCCCUAACUCUCCCAGAAUUCUCCCUCAAGUCCUCCCAAUUCCCCCUUCUAUACCCGAAUUCGGUAGAAGCAAUCCCAGCUCGGGCGCCCAUCAUCCUCCUCGCCGUCCACGUCUCGGCAAAAUCUCGUCAUCGGCGGGUUGCGACGAGUCCGGGGCAUUACAGAAGGCAAGUUAAUGUACAAGAGAAUCCUUUUACACACGAAAGGAGAAGGCAAGGUUUUAACCUUUCUUGUAUAAAGUGCUCUGAAAGCAGAAUCCAUAAACGUAACAGCCACCUCCAUGGCAGGAUUGCAGUCUCCCAGCUAUGUUUGGAGUAUUGAUAACUGCCUACCAUGGCAUUUCAUCACAUGGCAGGUCGUACGAAAGCUUUUGAUACAUCAUGGCAGCCAAUAUGGAGGGUGACAUGGCAAUCACUUUGAACCACUUAAGUCAAACUUUUGAUUUGCAUAUUGAUGACCCUUGUGAAAAAGUGUGACAAAUAUGUAGACUCUGAUAAAUAAGAAUAUAAAUAAGGAAAUCCUAACUUGUUACAAGUUAGAGCAGCAGACAGACUGAGGGAAGAUAGACAAGAGGUGACAUUUUUUAGGGAUGUUGUUUUUACAAUACAUUAGGUAUUUGAACUUCCUAAGAACUGAAUUUCUUGAUAUUUAGACAUCAUUAAGCUAAUGAUCAAGUGGUCUCAGAAUUGACAAUUUUAA
rnacentral:lncRNA from 1 species